rnacentral:lncRNA from 1 species
UCCUCUUCUUUUUUUUAAAUUAUUUUGUAUGUCCUCACAAUACAAAUCAACAAUUAUAUGUAUAGGUUCUUGAUUUUUCAACUCAGUAUCAAUACUACUAGUUUGAAAAUUGUUGUAUUCUUGAUACUUUUUCUCUGUGGCAUUAUUGUCCGAGUAAGCACUUCGAACGCAAUAUCAAAGUGGAUUUUGUUGCCUUCCGAGCUGCAGCGAGUAAUCUUCUUCAUCUUCUUCUUUUUCACAAGUAAAUCUGCCUUAUCAGACUCUUCUUUGCAUUUUGUUCCCACUGCACAUUCUCAAUGUUUCCUCUAGCUUCAAAUAUUUUCCUCACUAUCCAGCAUGCUUGUUAGGGUGUUGGUGCACUAGCAAACUGUUGGCCUUUGAUAUAAUAUGUAUGAAUCCACCUGAUCCACAGUUUAUCUUGUUUUUGAGCUAGGUCCUAGCAUGUCUUGGCUAUGGCUGCCUUGUUCCAAAGAUGCAUAUUAGUGAAACUUAGUCUUCCCCCCUGCUUUAGGUAGACAGACCUUAUCCCAAGCUAAGAGAGUCUUUCUUGUGAUCACAUUAGCUCCUGUCAAAACAUAGGAUCGACAUAUGCUUUCAACUGUUUUAAUCACCUUAGUAGAAAUGAUAAACAAUUGUGCCAUAAAGCUUGUAUCCCAAAGAGUAUACUUUGAACUAGUUGAAUCCUUCCAGAAUAAGAGAGUUUGUGUGCAGUCCAUGAUGAAAUUCUUGUUGUCAUUUUAUCUAUUAUGGGCUGCCACUUCAUGAUACUCAUCUUCUUUGUAGACAAGAGAACUCCAAUAUAUUUGAAAGGAACAUCACCACCACUGAAGCCUAAUCGAAGUAGAAUCUUUUGUUUUUCUGUUAUUGUGAAUCCCCCAAAAUAUACUGCACUUUUGGCCUGAUUUGCUUACAAUCCAGAUGUUAUACCCCAUUUUAACACGGGUCAAAUAGAGUACAAUGUAUUAAUGAUUUUUAAAUAUUUAUUAUUUACUAAAGAGUCGUCACCUAAUUAUAUUAAAGGUGAAUUAGGACACCUAUUUUUACUAAUAAUAACUCUAUAUAUGGUCUACUAAACUAUAAGUUUUACAUAAUAAUUGUUAUAUUACUCAAAGACAGAGUCAUACACAAAGAAGAUGAGGGCUAAUAAAUGGCUUUUCUUCACGUGAAAAUACUCAAAUGUAGCAGAUUUUAUUUUUAGUUUCCCGGAUAAGAUGAACAGACAUAUGACAUGAUUGUAACGACUCGGCCGGUCGUUUUGAGAGUUAUAGCCCCGAUCCCCUAUUUACUACUUUUUUCGUAUCUAUUUCUGCUUAUGUGACUUGCCGGAAAGUUUUUGUUGUGGUUUCGGAGUGAAUUGGGACACUUAGUCCCUAAAAGGAAGCUUAAGCCUUAGAAUUUUGACCAUAGUCGGAACUAUAUGAAGACAACUCCGGAAUGAAGUUCUGUCGGUUACGUUAGCUCCGUUGGAUAAUUUUGGACUUAGGAGCGUGUCCGGACUGUGAAUUUGAGGUCUGUAACUGUUUUAGGCUUGAAAUGGCGAAAGUCGAAUUUUUGGAGAUUUUGACCGGUAGUGGACCUUUUGAUAUCGGGAUCGGAUUCCGCGUUCGGAAGUUGGAGUAGGUCCAUAAUGUCAAUUAUGACUUGUGUGCAAAAUUUGAGGUCAAUCGGAUGUGAUUUGAUAGGUUUCGGCAUCGGUUGUAGAAAUUUAAAGUUCCAAGUUCAUUAAAUUUGAAUUGGAAGGUGAUUCGUAUUUUUAGAGUUGUUUGAUGUGAUUUGAGGGCUCGACUAAGUUUGUAUUGUAUUUUAGAACCUGUUGGUAUGUUUGUUUGAGGUCCCGGGGGGCUCGGGUGUGUUUCAAAUGCUUAACGGAUUAAAUUUGGACUUAGGCAAAUGGCUGAAGCCUCUGGUUUCUGGUAUUUUCGCACCUACGGUGGGGAAAUCGCAGGUCCGGGAUCGCACGUCCGGAGUGAAGGGUGCAGGUGCGUUGUUGGUCAAGAAGGUCUGCGAGCGCAGGUGCGGAAGUCAAGCCGCAGGAGCGGGCUCGCAGGUACGGCCCAAAGCUCCCAGAUGCGGUCCCAGACAUAUAAGCAAUUUUCGCACCUCCGAUGAGUUUUCCGCAGGUGCGGAUGAAGGCUCGCAGAAGUGAGUUUGCUGGGCAGAAAAUAGGAUUUUGAGGGUUGAUUUCCCAUUUCGAUUUUGGGACUUUGAGAGUUUGGAUUGGGCGAUUAUUUGAGGAGUUUUCAGAGAAAACUUUGGGGUAACGAUUCUUAACUCAUUUAUGGUUAUAUUACACUAAUCUAUGGUUGAUUUCAUCAUUUAAUUUCGGAUUUGGGUUGAAAUUUUGGGAAAAAUGGGAAGAAGUUCUUUAACUAAGAUUUUGGGUUUUGAUUGAGAUUUUGAAAUCGGAUUUGGAUAAUUUUGGUAUGAGUGAACUCAUGAGUGAAUGGGUGUUCA